GUCGUAUGUUAUAUGUGUCAUACGAGACUGCCGGUAAAAGCCGGAGGAAGGUGAGGAUGAUGUCAAGUCAGCAUGACCUUUAUAUCCAGGGCUACACACACGCUACAAUGGUCUGUACAAUGGGUAGCCAAGCCGCGAGGCGGAGCCAAUCCUGAAAGCAGGCCUCAGUUCAGAUUGCAGUCUGCAACUCGACUGCAUGAAGCCGGAGUUGCUAGUAACCGCAGGUCAGCAAUACUGCGGUGAAUACGUUCCCGGGUCUU
rnacentral:rRNA from 1 species